rnacentral:rRNA from 1 species
GACGAACGCUGGCGGCGUGCCUAAUACAUGCAAGUAGAACGCUGAAGGAGGAGCUUGCUUCUCUGGAUGAGUUGCGAACGGGUGAGUAACGCGUAGGUAACCUGCCUGGUAGCGGGGGAUAACUAUUGGAAACGAUAGCUAAUACCGCAUAAUAGUAGAUGUUGCAUGACAUUUGCUUAAAAGGUGCAAUUGCAUCACUACCAGAUGGACCUGCGUUGUAUUAGCUAGUUGGUGGGGUAACGGCUCACCAAGGCGACGAUACAUAGCCGACCGGAGAGGGUGAUCGGCCACACUGGGACUGAGACACGGCCCAGACUACUACGGGAGGCAGCAGGAGGGAAUCUUCGGCAAUGGACGGAAGUCUGACCGAGCAACGCCGCGUGAGUGAAGAAGGUUUUCGGAUCGUAAAGCUCUGUUGUAAGAGAAGAACGAGUGUGAGAGUGGAAAGUUCACACUGUGACGGUAUCUUACCAGAAAGGGACGGCUAACUACGUG